rnacentral:rRNA from 1 species
UACAGAGGUCUCAAGCGUUGUUCGGAUUCAUUGGGCGUAAAUGGUGCGUAGGCGGCGCGGUAAGUCGGGUGUGAAAUCUCGGAGCUUAACUCCGAAACUGCAUUCGAUACUGCCGUGCUUGAGGACUGGAGAGGAGACUGGAAUUUACGGUGUAGCGGUGAAAUGCGUAGAUAUCGUAAGGAAGACCAGUGGCGAAGGCGGGUCUCUGGACAGUUCCUGACGCUGAGGCACGAAGGUCAGGGGAGCAAACGGG